CUGGACAAGAUGGCCCUUCUGAGUCAGUCUGGACUUCAGACUGAGGCGCACUCGUGAGUCAGGGGAAUAUAGGUGGAAAGGUGGAAAUCAGGCUCAAGCCAGCCAGACACACACACCAUGUGGGUGUGCCCAGCACCUUGGGGGAUGAAACAGCUUCUAGUGGAGGGACUCCCCUGGAUAGGAAGCCACCGUGCCUGCUUAUACUGAAGACCAGCUGAGACAUCAGCUUUGUGGACGGAACAAUUUCUGGAUUCUUGGACUUUUUGUUUACAGCCUGCCAUUGUUGGAUUAGCUACUAGCUGGGUCACAACACCCAGAAUCCUUUUGUUUCUUCUUCUUGCCAAAUUCCUUCCUAGAACGUCCAACUCACUGUUGAAUAGAAGUAUCUAUUGAAGGUAGUAUUCUCAUCUUCCUAUUCAUCUGUGGGCUUUCGUGGAUGCCCUCUAUCGGCAGGAGGUAUGUUCCUUCUUGAUCCUCCCUCAACAACUGUUUUCCUUAUGAAGAGGUACUAGAUUUAUGUACCCCAUACUUUGUGU
rnacentral:lncRNA from 1 species